AGGACGAACGCUGGCGGCGUGCUUAACACAUGCAAGUCGAGCGGAAAGGCCCUUCGGGGUACUCGAGCGGCGAACGGGUGAGUAACACGUGAGUAAUCUGCCCCUAGCUCUGGGAUAGCUCCGGGAAACCGGGAUUAAUACCAGAUACGACCACUUUAGACAUCUGUUGUGGUGGAAAGAAUUUUGGCUAGGGAUGAGCUCGCGGCCUAUCAGCUUGUUGGUGAGGUAACGGCUCACCAAGGCGACGACGGGUAGCCGGCCUGAGAGGGCGACCGGCCACACUGGGACUGAGACACGGCCCAGACUCCUACGGGAGGCAGCAGUGGGGAAUAUUGCGCAAUGGGCGAAAGCCUGACGCAGCGACGCCGCGUGGGGAUGAAGGCCUUCGGUUGUAAACCCUUUCAGCAGGACGAAGCGAAGUGACGGUACCUGCAGAAGAAGCGCCGGCUAACUACGUGCCAGCAGCCGC
rnacentral:rRNA from 1 species